rnacentral:ncRNA from 2 species
GCGCUGACCUCGGGGUGCAUGGCCUGCCGCCACGCUGAGAUGCCGCAAGGCGAACCCGUUGAACCUGAACCGGUUAGACCCGGCGGAGGGAAGGUAUGGACGCCCUCC